GCCUCCAGAACUGCAGAGAUAAAUCUCUGUUCUUUAUAAGAUGCCCAUUUUCUGUAGAAUGUGGGGUACCUGACAACUCCUGUCCUCACCUUUGGGCCUUACCAGUCACACAAGGGGGAAGAAUAGCCCACCUGCUAUCCCAGCACUCAGGAGGCUGAGGCAAGACAACUGAGAGGAAGAAAUCUUCCUGGAUGGCUUGUUACCUGGACUUCCACAAUGUCAGCAAGAUCAUACUACAUGACAAGAAUCCUUUCAAGAGAUACACAGGGUGAGGACUGUGUCCUUAGAGAGCAGACGAAGCAGAGACUGGAGG
rnacentral:lncRNA from 1 species